CCCUUAGAUGUUCUGGGCCGCACGCGCGCUACACUGAUGCAUUCAACGAGUCUAAAACCUGCUCUGAUAGGGGUGGGUAAUCUUUUGAAUGUGCAUCGUGAUUGGGAUAGAUGAUUGCAAUUUUUCAUCUUCAACGAGGAAUGCCUAGUAAACGCAAGUCAUCAGCUUGCAUUGAUUACGUCCCUGCCCUUUGUCCACACCGCCCGUCGCUCCUACCGAUUGAAUGAUCCGAUGAAUAUCAUGGAUUGAGGAUGCAAGCAGGUUCGCCUGUCUUCAUCUUCGAGAAGUGAAGUAAAUCUUAUCAUUUAGAGGAAGGAGAAGUCGUAACA
rnacentral:rRNA from 1 species